GACGAACGCUGGCGGCGUGCUUAACACAUGCAAGUCGAACGGAAAGGCCCUGCUUUUGUGGGGUGCUCGAGUGACGAACGGGUGAGUAACACGUGAGUAACCUGCCCUUGACUUUGGGAUAACUUCAGGAAACUGGGGCUAAUACCGGAUAGGAGCUCCUGCUGCAUGGUGGGGGUUGGAAAGUUUCGGCGGUUGGGGAUGGACUCGCGGCUUAUCAGCUUGUUGGUGGGGUAGUGGCUUACCAAGGCUUUGACGGGUAGCCGGCCUGAGAGGGUGACCGGCCACAUUGGGACUGAGAUACGGCCCAGACUCCUACGGGAGGCAGCAGUGGGGAAUAUUGGACAAUGGGCGGAAGCCUGAUGCAGCAACGCCGCGUGCGGGAUGACGGCCUUCGGGUUGUAAACCGCUUUCGCCUGUGACGAAGCGUGAGUGACGGUAAUGGGUAAAGAAGCACCGGCUAACUACGUG
rnacentral:rRNA from 1 species